rnacentral:rRNA from 1 species
GGCCGUGGCGGGGUGCUAUACAUGCAAGUCGAGCGAAGAGAUGGGAGCUUGCUCCCUGAUCUUAGCGGCGGACGGGUGAGUAACACGUGGGCAACCUGCCCUGCAGACUGGGAUAACUCCGGGAAACCGGAGCUAAUACCGGGUAAUACAUCGCACCGCAUGGUGCAAUGUUGAAAGUUGGCUUUCUGAGCUAACACUGCAGGAUGGGCCCGCGGCGCAUUAGCUAGUUGGUAAGGUAAUGGCUUACCAAGGCGACGAUGCGUAGCCGACCUGAGAGGGUGAUCGGCCACACUGGGACUGAGACACGGCCCAGACUCCUACGGGAGGCAGCAGUAGGGAAUCUUCCGCAAUGGACGAAAGUCUGACGGAGCAACGCCGCGUGAGUGACGAAGGCCUUCGGGUCGUAAAGCUCUGUUGUUAGGGAAGAACAAGUACCGUUCGAAUAGGGCGGUACCUUGACGGUACCUAACCAGAAAGCCACGGCUAACUACGUGCCAGCAGCCGCGGUAAUACGUAGGUGGCAAGCGUUGUCCGGAAUUAUUGGGCGUAAAGCGCGCGCAGGCGGUCUUUUAAGUCUGAUGUGAAAGCCCACGGCUCAACCGUGGAGGGUCAUUGGAAACUGGAGGACUUGAGUGCAGAAGAGGAGAGUGGAAUUCCACGUGUAGCGGUGAAAUGCGUAGAUAUGUGGAGGAACACCAGUGGCGAAGGCGGCUCUCUGGUCUGUAACUGACGCUGAGGCGCGAAAGCGUGGGGAGCAAACAGGAUUAGAUACCCUGGUAGUCCACGCCGUAAACGAUGAGUGCUAGGUGUUGGGGGGUUCCACCCUCAGUGCUGAAGUUAACACAUUAAGCACUCCGCCUGGGGAGUACGACCGCAAGGUUGAAACUCAAGGAAUUGACGGGGGCCCGCACAAGCAGUGGAGCAUGUGGUUUAAUUCGAAGCAACGCGAAGAACCUUACCAGGUCUUGACAUCCUCUGACAUCCUGGAGACAGGACGUUCCCCUUCGGGGGACAGAGUGACAGGUGGUGCAUGGUUGUCGUCAGCUCGUGUCGUGAGAUGUUGGGUAAGUCCCGCACGAGCGCACCCUUGAUCUUAGUGCAGCAUUAGUUGGCACUCUUAGUGACUGCGGUGACAUCGAGGAGGUGGGAUGACGUCAAUCAUCACUGCCCUUAUACUGGCUACACCCGUGCUCAUUGGGACGUCAGUAGCCACCGCAGGGUGAGCAUCAAUAGCCGUUCUUCAUUCCGAAUUGCAAGC